AAUGUUGAUGUCUUCUAGAAGCACAAUCCAUAGGUAAGUGGUUCAGGAAAAUUUCAGAACAGGUGGAAUGGAUACAUUUUGUUUCACUUUAUUUUAUUCCUCUGAGAGUUGCAAAAGGACUCUUGAUAUAAUAUUAUCCUCAUUUAUACAGUACUGUGAUUAGAUAUUUGCUCAGUUUUCAAGGACAAACUUAAUAUUAAUAUUUUAAUCUUUACCUUACUUUAUUGGUAGUAGCAAGUACUUUUUGAUUAAGGUGCUAGUCUAUGUAAAUCCCAUCUCAUCAUAAGCUAAGACAUAUGAUUUCUUCCCACUUAUACCAUACUUUGCAUACGUCUGGAGCCUGGGUAUCCUGGUCUAUCUCCCCAGCAGAGGGCAGCACAAAGUCUACCUUCUUCAUCUUCCAUAUUAAUCUGCAAAUCCCUCUCUACGUUGUUAUCCUUUCUGGGGUCGGACUCAGGGAAAACACCAUCAUCUUCAUCUUCAUCAGUGUCCUCUUCACUCCACUGGACCCUAGCUGCGGUGUCUCGGGCCCUCUGCUUCAGAGCUGCUCUUGCAGUAAGCAAAAACUUUUCCUCCUUAUCCCUGGAGAUGAGAGAUGGCUCCACAGUCAUCCACCAUACCUUCAGAGCCUCAAAGACGCCCCUGGGUCAGCACACCAUCUUCCCCAGUCUUCCUCCUCGUCCCCAUCACUGUUCUGAAUUGGUGCUGGACACUUCUUACCUCGAGCCUGAGCAGCUACUGUGAAUAACUCUUCAAGCAAUGUUUUGACCCCAGGAGACUUAUUUGGUUUAGAGACUUCACGAGACCCUGCCCUCUUCUUGGCUGCUCUGUUUCAGGCACUACUUCACAGCCUUUUGAAAUUCUCAUCACUAGCUGCAGGCAAAAAUCUGAGCAGUUUGGUCUCUUCACCUUUCUGGUUUUGGGCCUUUUGGCCUGACCCAUGUGUCUCCUUCUUCCUAGGAUUUAACUUGUGCCCAGUGUUAACUGAAGGCUCAGCUUGCCUGGACCUGGUUGAGGCAGACCCAGUACCUCCAGCCAAGGCCUGUGCCACGUGGUCUUGAGGAAGAGCUGGGAUUACAUUCUUUAGUAUU
rnacentral:lncRNA from 1 species